UAUAGCUCAGUUGGUAGAGCGCCUGCUUUGCAAGCAGGAUGUCAGCGGUUCGAGUCCGCUAU
rnacentral:tRNA from 1 species